UUCUUUGUUUCAACACCAGUUUUCAGCUAUGAUGCCAUUUCAUACUACAAAAUAUUUAGUGACAAGGAUGGCUACAAACAUAUUCACUAUAUCAAAGACACUGUGGAAAAUGCUAUUCAAAUUACAAGUGGCAAGUGGGAGGCCAUAAAUAUAUUCAGAGUAACACAGGAUUCACUGUUUUAUUCUAGCAAUGAAUUUGAAGAAUACCCUGGAAGAAGAAACAUCUACAGAAUUAGCAUUGGAAGCUAUCCUCCAAGCAAGAAGUGUGUUACUUGCCAUCUAAGGAAAGAAAGGUGCCAAUAUUACACAGCAAGUUUCAGCGACUACGCCAAGUACUAUGCACUUGUCUGCUAUGGUAGGUAACGGACCUCACGUAAGCACAGCAUCCCCACAGGCAUGGUUGUCAUCCUCCUCACCUCUAUCUGAUCAAUUCAUAGCUACAGUUAAUGAGCAUUUGUUAUAUGUAAGAAUCUUAUCUUGUGCUUAUA
rnacentral:sRNA from 1 species